CUCUCUUUCUCGAGUCUCGAUCGUCCGCUGAAUUCCAACUCACGUACGGGGAGAGAAGAGAGAGAACUAACGAAUGGAAGGCGAAGGCGAAGAAGAUACAGUACAGGACACGCUGUUUUAAUCAUUGACUUCAACUAAUUGCUGGAUGCAUGCGUGCUUUCCCUUUUCUGCUAGUGUCAGUGAUGGUGAACCAAAGUCAGAUUAUCUAUAGUUGUUGCGGAUCAAGGGAGCUGAAGACACUUCAUCAAUAAGGAAGGCCAUCUUCAGUAUGUGCUAGCAAUGAGACUCACCUACUUACAA